rnacentral:rRNA from 1 species
CCUACGGGUGGCAGCAGUGAGGAAUAUUGGUCAAUGGACGCAAGUCUGAACCAGCCAUGCCGCGUGCAGGAAGACGGCGCGAUGAGUGGUAAACUGCUUUUGUACGAGGGUAAACGCAGAUACGCGUAUCUGUCUGAAAGUAUCGUACGAAUAAGGAUCGGCUAACUCCGUGCCAGCAGCCGCGGUAAUACGGAGGAUUCAAGCGUUAUCCGGAUUUAUUGGGGUGACAGGGUGCGUAGGCGGUCGGCUAAGUUAGAGGUGAAAUCCCGAGGCUCAACUUCGGAAUGGCCUCUGAUACUGUUCGGCUAGUGCGUAGUUGCGGUCGGCGGAUUGUUUGGUGUAGCGG